AUGAAUUGCCUAAGUUGGAACUGUCGGGGAGGGGGGAACACCCGGACAGUUCGUGAGUUAGCGACAAUCUGCAAGUCGCGUUCCCCCACGUUUGUAUUUUUAUGUGAGACUAGACAAAAGGAAGUAAAGAUGAAAAGACUACGAAACCGGCUGGGUUUGAAGGGUUUUUGUGGAGUCGAUAGCAAUGGCAUGAGUGGUGGUCUCGCGGUGUACUGGCAUGAAAAC
rnacentral:rRNA from 1 species